UCAAGCUAUUUAAUAAGGAAUAAUAAAUACUGCUUAAGUAUUGUUUUUGCUUGUAGCUGGAUUGAAACAAUAGAUACAGGUAUAACGUCCUCUUAAAAACUAGUCGAACCCCAACAUAUUUGUUGCAUGAAAAUGAAAUAACUAUAAAUAAUUGAUGGGAAUUAUAUUUUUGAAUAGAUUAAAUUUGUCGAUAUUGAUUGGGUUCGUUGGAAUGUGUACAUUUAUUUCAAGUGGAAUACACUUAUAUAAUAUGGACAAAAUCGUGAUCUCAAAAAAGUCGGUCAUUUUACGCUAUACUAUUAAAACCCGGAAAGGUACACGACCUGCGAUCAGGUCAGGAACCUGUAUCGCCAUUGUCAUUUAGAACUAGCAGAUGUCAUCGUUUUUGUGUAAACGAUAACCGUCUCGAAUAUUAAUUAGACUACGUCUAUCCUCCUCUGCACUUUUCAUUGCCGUAAAAUAAUAUACGAAUAAAUCUAAUUUUGAUUCAUUUCACCCAUCAUUCAGCUCAGCAACUGACUAAAUGUUUUGGAAAAAAAAA